rnacentral:lncRNA from 1 species
UCUCACAAUUGUUUCUCCUUCAAAGAACUCUCCAAACCGAAUACAUGUCUCCAAAGGGCGAAAUCUAGUGACUAAAAUAGAUUUAGCGCUAAAAAUCACAUUUGGAUAAUUCUGUCCCUGAAGCUUCGCACCAAAAUGCCCCUCUGAAUCUUCAAUCAUCUACAGCAGCCUCUCACCGCGAUUCUGCUGCGGUCACGGUGGAACUGCGACAAUUCCCCUUCUCUGAAGUUGCAGCCUUUUUCCGCGUGGUUCACUUGAGCUAUUUCACAGUUGACCUCUUUUUCUUCUUUUUUGACUCCAAAAGUACUCCCUAGCCUUCCCUUAGUCAUAUAUAACCUGCAAAUCAUAGAAAACACUCAUAAGAGCAUUUUGUUAUCACUUUCAUUACCAAAACUAUGCCAGAAGGUGGUUAUUUAAGGCCUGAAUAUAAUUAAAUUCACCUAUUAUCAACAUCCCACACUUAAACCUUUGCUCGUCCUUGAGCAACCUAAACCACACUUCUAGGCCUAACCAUUUGUUGCAUUACCUAAAGUUAUGUCACACCUUCCAUUUUGACGAACCAACCUAAGCAGUGCAACAGUCAUACCCAAGAUGCAGACUCUACUGACAUGACAUACUCGUGCUCACUCUAGUUACUCUACAACGGUGACGACUUACUUUUUCUUCAUGAGUCACAAGCCCUCACAUCAACAGUCUGAGAGAAGUUCCAUACCCAUAAAAUUCAAACAUAAGGAACCAAAGAUAGAAAGAAUUCACUCACUCUCAGCAAAGAACAUUCAUAUGCCAUACAGACACACCAUAAGCUUGCCCCUAGUGUAGUACCCUAUUAAUCGAGCUAUUUUAGUCAAACAUCAAGAGGUCUUCAUUUGGUUGUAAUGUAGGCUAAGGUAUGGGUAGGAUACAUUUGGCUGUAGUGACUAGCCUCCCUAAGAACUUUUAAUACACACUUCCUUUUAUAUCAAUUUCCAUGCUUAGCCUAAUCAUUCUUCCACAAUUUUGUUUCACAGGAGACCCCUACUUUCCUUUAGGUGCAACUGGCUUCUUGUUUUCUCUUUUUUUUCUUUCUCUUGUUUUGUUUUGCAUGUCUCAUUUUUUUUCUUUUUUUUAUAAUGUCAAUUCACCAAUCAAAUGAUUCAUUCCUGAUUCCCCUUUUUCUAUAACUCCCUACUACCCCACACUUUGACUUUUGUAUGUUCUUUUAGCGAUAGUGCUUCUACGAGGUAUAGUUUCAAAUAAUUAGCUAUUUAAACACAAAGAUAUAGGCCAUUAUAGGGUUAUCAAAGAACAUGUUUCAGACUCAAAGGGUUGAAUAUGGUAAUAUAAAACACUUUGAGCUCUAUGAAAGCAAGAUAGUUCUUUUUCAACUCUCUCAAAAUGGAAUCUAUCUCUACAACCAAACAGCUUCUAUUUCGCUUUGCAAAUACACAGGGAAAGUUCUAGGUAUUGUAUGCAAGCAUAGAAUGCAAGUAAACUCUCACACACUCUUAGCAUGUAACUCAUUCUGAAUCAGUUUAUCAAC